GCCACUCUAGUCUACGCGGGACAAUCCUCUGAAGAAGACGGUGGGUGUUGGUCCUCAGCAGCCAAUACUGACAGCUGCAGGAGAUGACACGUCCUGGGGACAGAGACGUCUUUGGAACCCCAGGAGUGAAUCAGACCACCCAGGAGGAGACAACAGAGUAACCAGAGAAGACAGAGCCUUGAGGACUUUGAAUAUCAAGGCUGAGAAUUCUCCAGGGAUGAGAUGAGUGUCUUCCCCAUCAGACCAGGAGCUCCCUGAGAGUGGGACAAUGGCAUCUCUUCACUUCUUUUUUCCCCGAGGUGUUCGACAACGCUCUGCGUGCAGAAGAUACCCACUGCAGGAGAGAGGUCUGCUGACGACCCCAGGGGCAGGCAACUUCCAGCUUCAACUCAGCAGACCUGCCCUUGGCCCAGCAAUGUGGGAAGGGUGAAGGCAGUGUCAGCCGCAGUGGGUGCUGCAGAUACAAGGGUGAGGAAGACCAGCUGUGAGAUGCAUGGGCACCAGGGAGUGUCCGUCUUGUGACCUGCCGUAGAACCUGGCGUCUGCUCGGGGCUUGCUUCUCUAUAGGAGCUCAGUUAGUGAUGAUGGCUGAAUGUGUAAGUGAAUGAAUGGGUGAAUGAGAGAGUGAAUGAAGACCUGGUUCCUGCCAUUGAGAAGCUCACACUCCAUGAGGGAAGGAACAAAGCUCACUUCUUUUGCGUGCCUCUGUGUGUUGGACACAAUUUUCAGCUUUUUCAUGUAUAUCACCUUAUCUAGUCCUCAGACCAACGCUAAAGGAUAAGCUCUAUGUUCUCUACUUUAUAAAUGAGGAAACUGGGGGGCGCCUGGGUGGCACAGCGGUUAAGCGUCUGCUU